ensembl:snoRNA
AAAUGAUGAAAUCACCCAAAAUAGCUGGAAUUACUGGCAGAUUGGUGGUGGUUAGCCUAUAGUUUUCUGAAG